AAGAUUCCCGUAGGUACAUUUGGAUCAAUUCUAUUGUGUAUUCCUCCUAGCCUCUUGAUAUUGGUGGUCCUGGCUAUGGCAUCUUUCAAAGUAAUGGUUCUUAGCCUCUUGGCCAUCGGUAUAGGGCUUCUUCUGCAACCUUGUUUAAGUUACAGUGAGAAAAAGGGAUGGUUCAGAUUCUCCGCAAGUUCUGAUCUCCCGGAUUGGGAUUACAAUAAUCACAGGCCCAUUGAGCCAUAGACUGAACAAUGGAACUUCUAUGUUGAUGGUGCAAGUGAAACUUUUAUUUGUUUCUAGCAUUGUGAUGGGGUUUUCCUUGGCAAUUUAGAUAAUAACCAUUGUUAAUGGUGUAAGUGAGCUAUUUAUUUUUUCUGGCAUUCACUUAAAAUUAUUUUCUCUGACAUUGUAGCAUAAGUGUCUACUAUUUCAAGUUUUAUUCAAUAACUAGGUAUUGAAUUAGUAUAAAAUUAUUCAGGAAACCAAAUCUUUAUCCUACUUAAGAUAAUUUAAUGACAGAUCAUUAGAUUAACAACAAUUUUUUCUCAUAAAAAAUAUUGAUUUUUAGAUAUUUCAAUAGGUUUUACUUUUUACGGUAAAAACAAGCUUUAAUGUGAUCUGUAAACCCAACUACUGUUACUGUCCAUGCAUGGCUAAAAGCUAGCAUUUUACAACCAAAUUUAAAUAAAAAUAAGUUAACUAUAACAGUUACAGCUAUAAAAUUUGCAUAUUUUUCUUUAAUCCACAGACACCACAGCAACAAGAACGGUUCAUAAGGUGAACAGGUGCGUUUAACAGGAACUACAUGCAACCUGCUUUAUCUUCACAAGAAGUUGAGGCACUUUGUUGAUGUACGAUAGAAAUCACGAGGUCGUCCCGUCUCAUAGAAUUGCAAUCACAUGCCGAAACCAAUAUCCCUUUAUAGUGAGGUUAAAUGUUUUAUUAGAAAGAGGAGUAACAGACUCUUCUUCAAAAUCGAAAAGAUACUUCUUCUUUAACACAUUACUUUUGCCUCUGCGCAGCCUGUCAUCAUUAAAGAAAGGUUAGAAAACCAGUGACAAUCAGGAAAUGCUAUAGUUAAUAGUAAAUGAUCUUGGGAGACUGAAAAAAUAAAAAUUAAAAAAAAGUGAAAGCAAAGUGAUAAAUGGACACCGGACGAAGAAAGAAAUAUUGAUGAUGAGAAUAUGAAAUGAAUGCGAACGGCCCACUAUUAUCUCAGUUGUUUGAAAUUUAAGGCAGACACGCUUAUGCACAAUAGUAUACUUGUAAAUAAGAUUUGAUUUCACUAUAGGCAGGUCAAUAGGAAUCCAGCUAUAGAGCUGAAAUGAUGCCCACAAAGAACAUUAAGAAUGUGCUUAUUUUCGGGGAAGUAGAAGUCCAAAGUGGGCCAUCUCAUAUCUAAACAAUAGAAGUCCAAAAAUGCUUAUAUCAAAGUUCACAAAUCAUGCAUUUAGAUAUACUCUUUCAAAAGCAACGGAGAAAUAAGGCAACUGAAAUCAUGGGUGAGAAAAUCCCAUAAUUAUCAUUCAAGCACAAUGUCUGUUCGGGUCUACUACUAAAAUACUCACCAUUCACUAACUAGAAUUUUUUGUCUUCUUCAAAUUCUUUUGCUAUCUCAUAUACUGGCAUCUACCAGACUUGAUAUGGGUUCGAGACACCUAUAUUAUGUAGAAAUGUAAUUACAAAAAAAAAAUUAUGCAACCAUUAUUCACAUUAAAUAUCAAGCAAGGCCCAAACACAGGAAUUGCAGCAAUCAGUUGCACGAUACCACAAGCACCGAUGACAUGCAUCUAUGGAGUGUCCAAAAGAUAUAUUAGCGCAAAGAGAAUACCAACUAUUUCAUUAGAAUUACUGGCAUUGUUAAAGAGGCCAAGCUUAGAAAUAUCUCCAAGUUCACAAUUCAUUUAUCAUGUCAACUGUCCGUAGAUCUGAAUUAUGAUUAUAAAUAUCCUCUUAUUCCAUAUCUGAUCAUAAAUUGAUUAUAACUGCAACAUGGACUGCAUCGACAUUUUAAUUGGCCCAGUUAGCCCAGGAAACUAAAAUGACUCCUUGUUGGAUCCUUCCCCUCACAUCGCCUCCCAAAUGUCACUCAUCCCAACCCCUUAGGAAAUCCUAAACUGACUGUUUCUUUAUUUGCUCAUGUAAAAGUAACAAAGAUCAAACAUGAAAAUAAGGCUUCCUAUUUCGAGUGAGUGAUGCCAAGAUUUUACAAGGUCAAAUGCCAAGACAAAUGGAAAAUAGCAUGGUAAAUGCAUGUCCAUAGAAAAUAAAUUUAUAUGCUAUAAAGUGAGGACACAAGAAUAACAUGCUGAAUGAAAUAAAUAACAUUUUCAAGGCAGUAGCACCCACCUUUUUCAACUUGUCCAGUACUGAUUCUUCAAAAGCCUGAUAUCCAGCACCAACAAGAUUACUCAGUUUCGGAACAUCGGAUUCUGUAUUAGCCUCUACACCAAAGUUAACUGGUGACGAAGCUGGUUGAAGAGGCAACACUAGAAGAGGAUUUGAGAGAUCCCCCAAGACAUUCCCAGUAGCAGCAUCCUGUCAAAGAAAAUGCCCCUUCAGAGACUAGAUGAUAAACUACAAAAAUCAAUUUGGGAGGAAAGAAAUUCAUUAACGAAAAAAAGGUUUAAAAAAAAAAAAAAAACAUACAGCUGCAUCUUUAGACCCCAUUACAACAAGGGCAGACCCUUUCUUCUUGGAACUCUUGAUGACUACAUCUUCCACCACACCAAACUCCGCAAAAAUUUCCCUGAGUCUUUGAGCUGUAUAGUCUUCGCCGGUCUUCUCCCAUGAAACCUUAAGAACCUUUUCCUUGUUUAACCCGCUACCACCAUCAUCCAUAUUACUUUUUCCCCUUGCAUUGGUAUCUUUCGUUGAAGGAGUUGUAGUAGCAGAUCCUUUGUUACUAUGCAUUGUACGAAUUCUAGCAAUCUCUUCCUUAAGCUUCCUAGCAAUUCUCUCUUCCUCUUCUCGAGCUCUCGAGCUGGGGUCAGGAGCAAAAGCAUAUCGCUCUCUUUCUUCGAGAUCUGACAUCAUCUUCCGGCGCUUGGAGUCCUGUUGUGACUGGCGUUGAAACUUUUCUCGUUUCACCCGAAGCAGAUCAUCAAACAACUUUCUAGCUUUUUCAUCCUUUAGGAUCGCAUAUGAUGUCGUAAGCUUUUGAAAAUUGUCAUGCGCAUUAGGGUCAUCAGGUCUCUUAUCUGGGUGCAAUUCCAAGGCCUUCAGUCUGUAAGCUUUUGUAAUUUCUUUCUCCGAAAGCUUGGCACCUUCUUCACCAGAUGGCAAGCCCAAAACAACAUAAUGGUCGAUUUCACCAUCCAUAUCUUCAACUCUUUAUAGUCUACACACGGAGAAAUGAAAAACAGCAAAUAAACAAUAGAAUGUCAGGAACAUUUAACGUAACACAUGGUGUAAUACAACAGGCAAUGUUACAGCAUUUAUAAUAAUUUAUUGUUCACAAAUGCAAAAGGAAAACCAUAAACGGACAUAAAAAAAUUUCAAUAGAGACAAUGUCGAGAAAAUCUUUGUUGCAUAAGGAAGCCUACCAUCAACAAACAACAAUUUUGGAAAAAAUAAAAAACAAAAAUCUCUGGGCCUGCUUUCCAAUUUUUAUCCACCCACUGUUUAUGAGAGAUUAGGAAAACAAGUUAUUGUUAGUUUGAAGCACAAGUAAUUCUAGUGAAGUGUAAUUUUUGUUGUAUUUCUGAACCCACAAAAAUCAGUGAAUUUUUGCCCAUUUUCAUAUUUUCUUUCAAUUUCACCCUUUCUAAAACAAUUAUUUCAAAUCUACUCUAAAAAGAAAUGAAAAUUGGAUAAAAAGAAAAGAAAUUCCUCUUCAAAUAAGCUUAAAAAAAUUAUCUUCACAAAUAUAUUCGUUUUUAGUCAUUAAAUUGUAAAGAGUGAUGUCCUCCAUAUUGUUCACACAUAUCUACCUUUCUUUUAAAAGAGAUAUAUACAUAAUUUGAUUCUUUUAAAAGAAUUUCAGAACCGCUGAAUAAUAAUUCUCAAGAAUGAAUUAGACAGUUUAAAAAAUGGCUACUAAAAACCACCCAAAAGACUUUAAGAAACCCUAUAACCGAUAGCCAAAACUCCCAACCGAUUUCUGAGGAGCUAAAAGAUGAGAAUGGCGAUAAAUAAGUGUUGAAAUUAAAUUCUUCACAACAAUCAAAUCCAGUGCGAAAUCAACAGAUAAAGCCUGUUUUUACAAAAAUCAUACCUUCUGAAUUUCGUGAUGAAGAAGUUGAAUUACCGGAGUAGGAAUCACAGCAAAACAAGAGAAAUUGGUGGCAAAAGCUAACCCCGCCGAUUAUGUCCUCCUAUUGCUCGACGAACAAGACUUAAAAACCGGCCUGGAAUUUGGACAUGCUCUUUCGAAUUAAUUGUCUUUUAAUUAGGCUUCAGAUUGCUUAAAUACCUAAAAAUUAUACGUAAAGUGGAAAUUACACCAUACGCCUUAUUUUUAUAAAAUAUUCAAAUUAUAUUAUUAAAUACUUUUUAAAUAAAAAAUACGUCUUAAAAAAGCGAAAUUGCAUCUCUCGUCAAUUAAUUGAUUCUCUGGCUAUAAUCAUUUCACCAAACACGCCUCAACACUCCAAGUUAUGUUGCCAAAAAAAUCCCAAAUUUUAGUCUUAUUGAUUACAUCAAAAUCUAGGUUUUAUUUAACACAUUGUGCCAUUAUAUCCAUAUCCAUGACGCGAUUUUGCAUUUACCCAUUUUGGCUAUUGUUCUUGGUUAUGGUUAUAGAGGAUGGGAUAUUUGGCUGUGAAAUGUUUCCAAGAAAUGCAAAGUUAGGGAAUCAAGGGGGAUUGCAUCACAUUUUCCACCAUCAAGAAAGGCAGUUCUGCUGCUUCUAUCCCUAUUUGGAAUGAUUUGGUUCACAAUCAUAUUUGUGCUAUCAACGUAUAGUCAUUCAGGUCUUAUAGAAGAGAGUCUUGAAAUUCAACAACACGAGAGUCGGAUGGUGGUAUACUCAAAUUAGUUACAUUGCAAACGACGAUAUAAGUGUAUAUAUAUAAAAUUACAGCAAUUAAGGUAAACAGUCCCUGAACAUUCCAUUGCUACUGGACAAUAAUCAGAUUACAUGGAAUAUCCAAAGUUGCAGUAAUCUUGGUUAAAAAUUAAAUAUACACACAUUAUCUGUAAUCAUUCUGUAAAAAAUUUCUAGAAGAUAAUUCAAAGAGAUCACUCGUCAGACGUCACACAUAAUGAAUAUCUCACUGAAACCAAUUUGUCACGAUCGCCAAUAGUGAGUGCUCUUAACUCAUAUCCAUAUGUUCAUCGUACAGAUUUAACGCUACUCAUUUUUUCCAUCUUUGAAAAAUUUCCAGUUACAAUAUCCAAAAAGCAAAUUUUAUUAUACAGUAUUCUUGGGAUUUUAAUAGGGUUAUGUAGUAAUUUCGGUUAUUACUUGGGUUUAAUAGUAUAAAAUAAAUUAUUAUAUAUUAAUCAUCUAUAUUAUAUAUGAUUUUUAUGUAAAACUACACGACGGAAAUUAUAAUUGUAAAAAGGAAAAAUUACACAACUAGGCUACACUUAGGGCAAAGUUAAAUAAAAAAAAUCUUGUAAAUGCACAAGAUCUUUAGAUUUAGGUGUAAAUCUUAUAUUGUACAUAAAUUUUUGACGAGUUUGGAAUUUUUUAACAGAAAUCCUACAUUCAAUAAGUUAAAUGAUUGUCUUAAAAUCUUCAAUGCACUCAUGUGAGAAAAUUAAGCAAAAUCAUGAUUUUAAGAUUUAAUUAUCAUUAAUCAAACUAUUAAAAAUUUUCUUUAAAAAUCAGGCUUUUAUUAUAGACAAUAUGUAAGUUUAAUAUUUUUAAAUCUAUAUUAUCAAAUAAUAUAGUCUAGUAAGUAAUCUCGAAUUUGAAAAUUAAUUUCCAUCUUAAACGGAUUUCAAAAUCACAUAAUUUGGAGAGAGAUAAUUAGACUUUGAAUAAUUAAAUUCAGCAUUUGCAUUCUCAAGUUCUAAAUGAAGCCUUCAAUCUUGAAAUCAUGUCAAUAUUAUCGCACGCGAAGUCAUAAUUUUCAAAGAAACAUAUUUUAGGCCACAUUUCGAAGAGAGAAAUACAAAAUAGUGUCACAUAUUUACAUAUUCCUAUUACUGUCACAUACACAAUCUAUUAAAUCAAUAUCACAUGACAUUUUAUAAAUAAUUUAAGUCACAAUCACUGAACCUCAUAAGUCACAACCAUACAACAUAACGAUAAUCUUCACACGAAAUGAUAAUAUUUCAAUCACACGUCUACGGUCAUAAUCUUAAAUUGUACAUGCAUACUUGCAACUAUAGAUUGUUACAAUUUUGUGACUAGUCUGGUCACAGAACCUGUAUGUCCCAAUUACACAAUAUAUUAGGUCAAAGUCAUAAUUUUCAAGCAAAAUGAUCGAAAAAUAUUGUAGGCAUCAAUGUGUGUGAUUGGAACAAUUGUUCACAAACAAUAGUUUAACUUACGUGCCAUACCAAUAGAUGCAAAAUCAAUGUAAAAAGAGUGAUAAAUUAUUCUGGAAAAAAACUGCUCAAAAGAAGGAAACAAUAAUUCCACAGAAAUCACAUAGUGAAUUUGUGAGAACAUUGAACAAGAAGAUAGCUGAUUGUUUUUUUUAGUUAGUAAAAAGAUAAAAAAGAAUAAUAUCAAUUACCCAUUAUCAAUCCUCAAUCCUCAAUAUAAGUUAAUUUAUUCUCUUACUUAAAAUCAUCUAUUUAUAAUUUUAGGAAAGAUAAUACUAAUUUAUGACCUGAUUUUUAAAAGAAUUCUAUAGAUUUGAUAUUUUAAUAGUUAAGAUUUUUUCCCAUCCUAAUAUCUCAGAAAUUUCAGAUUAUGCACUUCCAUCAAACGAAGUGCUUAUUGCAUGUAAAGAAUAUUACUAUAACAAACAGAACAUAAAUAUAUGUCCAAUUAUUAUUUAACAUAAUAAUACAGAACAAGCCAGAUACAGGAAAGCAGCGUGAACAAAAAUUGUCCAGCAAACAGAAGUUCCCAAAAAGCCCCUUUCACCCUAAUACCGCACUACAUAAGUAGGAUCGACAUAAUGACUUAAAAGAAUACAGUAUCUAAUCGGUUUCCUCAAAAGAAUAUGAACGUCUUAAUGCCUUGGCUUUUCUAGGGCUCAUUGAGACUCGACUUUUAUUAUUAAAACCGGAUAAAGAAAAUCCACAAACUAAGAAAAUUAAUGUCACAGGGCAUAUCAAACAGAAAUAGAGUAAAAAGAUCGUCCCUUCUCAUCAGUUAGAUACAUCCCGGCUGUAGUAUUGAUCGAGUGUCUUUGCUGGUAUACGGUGGAGGAGUUCCCGUGGAAAGAUCCGGAGAAGAGUCCAUGCCAGAUCAAGUGACUGGAAGAUGUUGCGGGUGUCAUAGGCCCCUUGGGCAACAAAUUUCCUCUCAAACUUGUCGAGGAACUCGAGAUAUAGCUGUUAAUUCAAGUGGGAGAUGUAUUAGUUAUUGUAAUUAUUACUUUAAAUAAAAUUGAAUCGACAAACUUAUUCUAUAACGGACCAGAUCCUCCGACGAAAGUGCUUCUUCUCCAACCACGGCUUUCAUUGCCUGGACAUCUUUUCCAAUGGCAUAAUUUGCAUAUAGCUGGAAAAUCAGAAAGACGGUAAUUAAACAUGCAAUAGAAAAAUGCAAAAUUUGAAUUUAUUACAUUAAAACUAAAAACAAUGCUAUCUAGCACCAGUGCCGCUAGAGUACAAGUCUAGUUGUCUACAUUUUAUAGAUUCAAUUAAAUGAGUCACAUGACUUUGUAUUUAAAUAAUUCUAUCAUUUAAUGAUGUAUAAUAGUCACCUAGACUGGUGCUUAACUCCGGUGGUGAUUAAUAGCAUUACUUUUAAAACUAAUCAACAGUGAAAACUGCCAUGUGGGAGGAGGGUGGUGGUUCUUUAAUCGAUCUGUACCAAUUGUAUAACAUGGAAGUCACAGCUGCAGCCUUUAGUUACAUUGUCAAGUACUGAGGCAGAAUAUGUUGCCAUAACUGAGGCGGCUAAAGAAUGUACUUAGUUAAAAGGAAUUUUAAAAGAAUUGAACUUCAUGCAUGAUACACCUGUUAUGUUUACUGAUAGUCAAAGUGCUUUAUUGCUUUGUAAAAAUCCUGUUUACCAUGAAAGAACUAAACAUAUUGAGGUAAAGUAUCAUUUUAUACGUGAGAAACUGUCUCAAGGUGAAGUUAAUCUCGUUAAAAUUCACACUGAUAGGAAUCCCUCUGACAUGGGAACAAAAAUUCUACCUGCAAGUAAAUUUAGAUUGUGCUUAUCUUUAUUACACAUUGACACUGGUUAAUUUUUCUUGCAGGUGGUGGGCGAUGAUGAUAAACAGUUCUUCCAUGUGCAAAUUCGCAACCAAGAGAGAGUGUUAGGAGAACCAAGGUGAAGAAUGUGAGGAUAUGGUUCACCUAACCCCACCCAAUGUUGUGACUUGAUAGUAGUGAGGUUGACACAAUAUAUGGUCUUCCACGUUUUGGCAGAGGCAUGGUCUUCCUACCUUCCCCUUCAGAUGUACUCUCUAUUAUUUAAAUGGAGGGGGCAGCUCUCGGUCCAAAUAAUCCCCAGCAGAAGGUGGAGCUCUCGGUUUUUCAUAGAAGGGUGGUGGUUCUUCAUUGGUUUUUCCCCCUCUCUCUUUGGAAGGCAAUUGGCAUAGCAUGGGGCUGUUCCUGAGCCUGGAAAAACACCCAUAAAUCUAAGAAGAAGCUGCUGAAACGAAGAAGAAGAAGCUGGACAGAAAUGGGCAGAAUAAAGGGGUUGUAUUCUUCCGAUUUUAUUUUCUUGUUUUUGACUUGAAUCUUGUUUGUUGAUUGUUGUUUUGGUUGUUUGAACUCCUAGGAUCCCCAACAAUAUUUAAUAAAAAAAUAAUAUUAUCCAUAAUGAGUCAUUGCAGUAGUCAUUUUAUAUAGCAAAUUCUUAUUUUAGCUAUUGACAUAUUAAAAAAUGUAUAAUAUAUGAAAAUUAAGAAAGGAGUAUUAUUGAGAUUUUGUACGAAAGAAUUCUUUUCCUAUCAAAAUAAUCUAUAUAAUAAUAAUAAUAAUAAAUAAAUAAAUAAAUAAAUAAACAUAUAAAUAAAAUUGUUGAAAUGUUUAAAAAUCAUUACCCUUAUUUUGCCCCCGGUCAACUAAGCAAGUAUAAUAAAUUCCCCACAUUAAAAACCCCCAAAAAUGGGAAUUCAUUUAGAAAGAUCCGCCGUCUCUAGCACACUGCACACCUUCUUCCAUUCCUUAACGUUCCAUGGUUAGUACCGCGCUUCUUGACAUUGUAAAUCCCCCAAUUUCCAUAUCAGAUCACCGUGCAGUGCAAUACACGGGUAAAAUAUUUCAAACUAAUAAUAUUAUGGCUAUUUAGUUAAAAUUGGAACUCUACAUCUUUUUCAUGUUUCUGAUAUUGUUGAUUCGGUGAUUUUUCAUGGUUUGUUGAGGGGGUCUGUGGAUUAUUAUGAGGGAUAAAAUCAACGAAAUUUUGGAAAUCAGGAUUAAUGAUUUUUUAUUAAUUGAUAAAAGUUUAUUCUUGUUUAGAUUUACAUGUCCUAGGUAUCUAUUGUUUUGAUCUUUAAAUUUCUUGAGGUGUAUAUGGCAACUGGAUCUAUUAUUUUGAAUUGGUUGCAUUUCAUGAGAGCUUAAGCUGCUAUGCUUUAUCUAUAAAUUAUGCAAUUUGAUUUUCAUGUUGACUUGCAGACAUUCUGUCCACUCUCAAAUAUUUUGCUUCAAUUGUUUGUUGAAUGUGCUUGGAUUAUCUUGUUUCCAACUUUUUUUCUCUUGAGCAAUUCAAUAUCUGUAAAAGUUCAUCAAUUGACUUUUUGGAGAGAGGCACAAAUCGAAAUGAACGAAUUGAGAGAGCUCGUUACUAUAUUGCUUUCUUGAUAUUUUGCCCUGUCCCUUUCAGAUAUCUGCCUCUCCUUUUACUACCUACCAUGAGUAUAUUCAAUUUUGAUAUUGCACACAGAAACAAAGAGCUUCUUCUGCUAAGUUAACAACUAUUCGGAUGAGGGAAGACAAUAAUGUUGAGUACGUAGGUUUGGAGGAUGGUGUUUCUCCCAAGUUACAAAACUUCAAUAAGGUUUCAAUUAUACCUCUUGUUUUCCUGAUAUUUUAUGAGGUCUCUGGUGGACCUUUUGGAGUUGAAGAUAGUGUCCAGGCUGCUGGUCCUCUUUUAGCCUUGCUUGGCUUUCUACUUUUCCCAUUGGUAUGGAGUGUACCAGAAGCCCUAAUAACUGCAGAAUUGGGUACCAUGUUCCCUGAGAAUGGAGGUUACGUGGUUUGGGUUUCAUCGGCAUUGGGUCCUUACUGGGGAUUCCAGCAAGGGUGGAUGAAGUGGCUAAGUGGAGUUAUUGACAAUGCGCUUUAUCCUGUUUUAUUUCUAGAUUAUCUGAAAUCUGGUAUACCAAUUCUAGCAGACGGUUUCCCUCGGAUUAUGGCAGUGCUUGUGCUGACAUUAAUGCUCACUUACAUGAACUACCGGGGUAUGACCAUAGUUGGAUGGGUUGCUAUAUUGUUAGGGGUGUUCUCUCUACUUCCUUUCUUGUUUAUGGGAGUUAUAGCAAUUCCUGAAUUGGAACCUUCAAGAUGGUUUGUGCUGGAUUUGAACAAUGUGGAUUGGGGAUUAUUCUUAAAUACUCUGUUCUGGAAUUUAAAUUAUUGGGAUUCAAUCAGUACUCUAGCUGGUGAGGUUGAAAAUCCUGGUGGAACACUCCCCAAGGCUCUAUUCUAUGCCCUUAUAUUGGUUGUACUCGGAUACUUUUUUCCCCUUCUCAUUGGCACGGGAGCUGUCCCCCUUGAUCGUGAGCUGUGGAGUGAUGGGUAUUUCUCCGACAUAGCAAACAUCCUUGGUGGGGUAUGGUUGAGACUUUGGAUUCAAGGGGCUUCUGCUCUAUCAAACAUGGGGAUGUUUGUGGCUGAGAUGAGCAGUGAUUCAUUUCAACUUCUCGGGAUGGCUGAAUGCGGGAUGCUUCCUGAAUGUUUUUCCAAGAGGUCUCGCUAUGGAACUCCUCUUCUUGGGAUUUUGUUUUCCGCAUCUGGUGUGAUAUUGCUUUCGUGGCUUAGCUUUCAGGAGAUUGUUGCCGCGGAGAACUUCCUUUACUGUUUUGGAAUGAUAAUGGAAUUCGUAGCUUUCAUCAAGCUAAGAAUUAAGCACCCUGCAGCAUCUCGACCGUACAAGAUUCCCGUAGGUACAUUUGGAUCAAUUCUAUUGUGUAUUCCUCCUAGCCUCUUGAUAUUGGUGGUCCUGGCUAUGGCAUCUUUCAAAGUAAUGGUUCUUAGCCUCUUGGCCAUCGGUAUAGGGCUUGUUCUGCAACCUUGUUUAAGUUACAGUGAGAAAAAAGGAUGGUUCAGAUUCUCCGCAAGUUCUGAUCUCCCGGAUUGGGAUUACAAUAAUCACAGGCCCAUUGAGCCAUAGACUGAACAAUGGAACUUCUAUGUUGAUGGUGCAAGUGAAACU
rnacentral:lncRNA from 1 species